GAGCUUGGGGCCGGUAGAGGGAGACGGAACUGCCGGUGUAGGGGUGAAAUCCGUAGAUAUCGGCAGGAACGCCGGUGGGGAAGCCGGUCUCAUGGGCCGCGCCCGACGCUGAGACCCGAAAGCUAGGGGAGCAAACCGGAUUAGAUACCCGGGUAGUCCUAGCCGUAAACGAUGCCCACUAGGUGUGGGGGAUUAAUUCCUCCGUGCUGUAGCUAACGCGUUAAGUGGGCCGCCUGGGGAGUACGCCCGCAAGGGUGAAACUCAAAGGAAUUGGCGGGACCCCGCACAAGCGGUGGAGCGCGUGGUUUAAUUGGAUGCUGAGCCAAGAACCUUACCAGGGCUUGACAUGCAGGUGGUACCGACCCGAAAGGGGAGGGACCCCAUCCUUUUGGAUGGGGAGCCUGCACAGGUGGUGCACGGCCGUCGUCAGCUCGUGCCGUGAGGUGUUGGGUUAAGUCCCGCAACGAGCGCAACCCCUGCCCUUAGUUGCCAUCGGUUCGGCCGGGCACUCUAAGGGGACUGCCGGCGACGAGCCGGAGGAAGGAGGGGACGACGUCAGGUACUCGUGCCCUUUAUGCCCUGGGCUACACACGCGCUACAAUGGGUGGUACAAUGGGUUGCGACCCCGCGAGGGGGAGCCAAUCCCUAAAACCACCCUCAGUUCGGAUCGCAGGCUGCAACCCGCCUGCGUGAAGCCGGAAUCGCUAGUAAUCGCGGAUCAGCCACGCCGCGGUGAAUACGUUCCCGGGGUU
rnacentral:rRNA from 1 species